CACGCUGUAAACGAUCAAUACUAGGUGUGCGGGGACUGACCCCCUGCGUGCCGGAGUUAACACAAUAAGUAUUGCACCUGGGGAGUACGAUCGCAAGGUUGAAACUCAAAGGAAUUGACGGGGGCCCGCACAAGCGGUGGAUUAUGUGGUUUAAUUCGAAGCAACGCGAAGAACCUUACCUGGACUUGACAUCCCCUGAAUGACUCGUAAUGGAGGAAGCCCUACGGGGCAGGGAGACAGGUGG
rnacentral:rRNA from 1 species